UGGGGAAUCUUGGACAAUGGGGGCAACCCUGAUCCAGCGACGCCGCGUGGGUGAUGAAGGCCUUCGGGUUGUAAAGCCCUUUUGUCGGGGACGAUGAUGACGGUACCCGGCGAAUAAGCACCGGCUAACUCCGUGCCAGCAGCCGCGGUAAUACGGAGGGUGCUAGCGUUGUUCGGAAUUACUGGGCGUAAAGGGCGCGUAGGCGGCCGUUUGCGUCGGAUGUGAAAGCCCGGGGCUCAACCUCGGAACGGCAUUCGAUACGGGACGGCUGGAGACCGGGAGAGGAGAGUGGAAUAGCCAGUGUAGAGGUGAAAUUCGUAGAUAUUGGCUGGAACACCGGUGGCGAAAGCGGCUCUCUGGCCCGGUUCUGACGCUGAGGCGCGAAAGCGUGGGGAGCAAACA
rnacentral:rRNA from 2 species